rnacentral:tRNA from 1 species
GCCGAAAUAGCUUAACUGGUAGAGCAACACAUUCGUAAUGUGAUGGUUGGAGGUUCAAGUCCUCUUUUCGGCU